GGUUGUAUAGUGUAGCGGUUAUCACACCAGAUUCUGAUGAUAUCUUGAGUUCUGGUGACCCCGGUUCGAUUCCGGGUACGACCU